CAGACUGGAGUUUGACCCUGACGGGCUCAAGAUUGACUCAGCUUCCAUCCUUCCCAAGGUGGAAAGCCACUGGUGGAACAACAAGGUACAUCACCAAAGGCUUCCAGUUAUGAUGCCACUGAAAACUCCAAGGGACAUAUUGAUGGGGAUCUUGAGGGAAAGAAAGGCAGUAUUGAUUCACUGAAAAUCUGCUUGAAAAGUCAUGAACAUUAUUGGAAAUACUGUAUGUUUUCCUCUAUUCAUACCCCCAUCCUCUCCUGCCCCAACAAGGGUAUCUGUUGAAUAAAGAAGAGCAGAAUAAUUACCAAAUGCCUUUUAACUGGAAACUCUUGAAUGUCCAUCUGAAAGAAUCUCUAAUACAUGUUGUGUGAAGACUUGGUUUCUUGGAGAAGUCUAUCUUGCUUGGAAAGCUUGAAGGAAAAAACAGAGUGACCAGAAGUAAGGACUAGAAAAUCUGUCUGGGUAUCCAAGCUUUCAUUUUCUUUUGCUGUCAGGCAAACAAAGCCUGAAGAAUGUUAUAAAUUUGUGCAUGUAUUCCAAAGGAUGACCUGGCUGGCUGCAUUACAAUCUGAAAACUCGCACCUGGAUAAUAAAUGGGUCUGCUGCCAU